CCUACGGGAGGCAGCAGUGAGGAAUAUUGGUCAAUGGACGAGAGUCUGAACCAGCCAAGUAGCGUGAAGGAUGACUGCCCUAUGGGUUGUAAACUUCUUUUAUAUGGGAAUAAAACGUUCCACGUGUGGGAUUUUGUAUGUACCAUAUGAAUAAGGAUCGGCUAACUCCGUGCCAGCAGCCGCGGUAAUACGGAGGAUCCGAGCGUUAUCCGGAUUUAUUGGGUUUAAAGGGAGCGUAGGUGGAUUGUUAAGUCAGUUGUGAAAGUUUGCGGCUCAACCGUAAAAUUGUAGUUGAAACUGGCAGUCUUGAGUACAGUAGAGGUGGGCGGAAUUCGUGGUGUAGCGGUGAAAUGCUUAGAUAUCACGAAGAACUCCGAUUGCGAAGGCAGUUCACUGGACUGCAACUGACACUGAGGCUCGAAAGUGUGGGUAUCAAACAGGAUUAGAUACCCCUGUGGUC
rnacentral:rRNA from 1 species